rnacentral:rRNA from 1 species
AGAACGAACGCUGGCGGCAGGCUUAACACAUGCAAGUCGAACGCCCCGCAAGGGGAGUGGCAGACGGGUGAGUAACGCGUGGGAAUCUACCUGGUUCUACGGAAUAACUGAGGGAAACUUCAGCUAAUACCGUAUACGCCCCAAGGGGGAAAGAUUUAUCGGUGCCAGAUGAGCCCGCGUUGGAUUAGCUAGUUGGUGGGGUAAUGGCCUACCAAGGCGACGAUCCAUAGCUGGUCUGAGAGGAUGAUCAGCCACACUGGGACUGAGACACGGCCCAGACUCCUACGGGAGGCAGCAGUGGGGAAUAUUGGACAAUGGGCGAAAGCCUGAUCCAGCCAUGCCGCGUGAGUGAUGAAGGCCUUAGGGUUGUAAAGCUCUUUUACCCGGGAAGAUAAUGACUGUACCGGAGAAUAAGCCCCGGCUAACUCCGUGCCAGCAGCCGC